rnacentral:rRNA from 1 species
UAGGGAAUAUUGCACAAUGGGGGAAACCCUGAUGCAGCAACGCCGCGUGAGUGAUGAAGGCCUUCGGGUUGUAAAGCUCUGUCGUGAGGGAAAAAUAAAUUGAUGGUACUUCACAAGAAAGGACCGGCUAACUUCGUGCCAGCAGCCGCGGUAAGACGAGGGGGUCCUAGCGUUGUUCGGAAUCAUUGGGCGUAAAGCGUAUGUAGGCGGCUUAAACAGUCAGGUGUGAAAGCCCUGGGCUCAACCUAGGAAGUGCACUUGAUACUAUUAAGCUAGAGUAUUGGAGAGGGCAGUGGAAUUCCUGGUGUAGUGGUGAAAUACGUAGAUAUCAGGAGGAACACCGGUGGCGAAGGCGGCUGCCUGGCCAAAUACUGACGCUGAGAUACGAAAGCGUGGGGAGCAAACAGGAUUAGAUACCCAGGUAGUCCCUGAGCGGGCUGGCAAGGCGCAU